GUGAGGAAUAUUGGACAAUGGGCGCAAGCCUGAUCCAGCCAUGCCGCGUGCAGGAAGACGCAUCUAUGGUGUGUAAACUGCUUUUGUACGGGAAGAAACACUCCCUCGUGAGGGAGCUUGACGGUACCGUAAGAAUAAGGAUCGGCUAACUCCGUGCCAGCAGCCGCGGUAAUACGGAGGAUCCAAGCGUUAUCCGGAAUCAUUGGGUUUAAAGGGUCCGUAGGCGGUUUAAUAAGUCAGUGGUGAAAGCCCAUCGCUCAACGAUGGAACGGCCAUUGAUACUGUUAGACUUGAAUUACAAGGAAGUAACUAGAAUAUGUAGUGUAGCGGUGAAAUGCUUAGAUAUUACAUGGAAUACCAAUUGUGAAGGCAGGUUACUACUUGUGGAUUGACGCUGAUGGACGAAAGCGUGGGGAGCGAACAGGAUUAGAUACCCUAGUAGUCC
rnacentral:rRNA from 1 species